rnacentral:rRNA from 1 species
GCGUCGAGCGGCGGACGGGUGAGUAAUGCCUAGGAAAUUGCCCUGAUGUGGGGGAUAACCAUUGGAAACGAUGGCUAAUACCGCAUGAUGCCUACGGGCCAAAGAGGGGGACCUUCGGGCCUCUCGCGUCAGGAUAUGCCUAGGUGGGAUUAGCUAGUUGGUGAGGUAAGGGCUCACCAAGGCGACGAUCCCUAGCUGGUCUGAGAGGAUGAUCAGCCACACUGGAACUGAGACACGGUCCAGACUCCUACGGGAGGCAGCAGUGGGGAAUAUUGCACAAUGGGCGCAAGCCUGAUGCAGCCAUGCCGCGUGUGUGAAGAAGGCCUUCGGGUUGUAAAGCACUUUCAGUCGUGAGGAAGGUAGUGUGGUUAAUAGAUGCAUUAUUUGACGUUAGCGACAGAAGAAGCACCGGCUAACUCCGUGCCAGCAGCCGCGGUAAUACGGAGGGUGCGAGCGUUAAUCGGAAUUACUGGGCGUAAAGCGCAUGCAGGUGGUUUGUUAAGUCAGAUGUGAAAGCCCGGGGCUCAACCUCGGAAUAGCAUUUGAAACUGGCAGACUAGAGUACUGUAGAGGGGGGUAGAAUUUCAGGUGUAGCGGUGAAAUGCGUAGAGAUCUGAAGGAAUACCGGUGGCGAAGGCGGCCCCCUGGACAGAUACUGACACUCAGAUGCGAAAGCGUGGGGAGCAAACAGGAUUAGAUACCCUGGUAGUCCACGCCGUAAACGAUGUCUACUUGGAGGUUGUGGCCUUGAGCCGUGGCUUUCGGAGCUAACGCGUUAAGUAGACCGCCUGGGGAGUACGGUCGCAAGAUUAAAACUCAAAUGAAUUGACGGGGGCCCGCACAAGCGGUGGAGCAUGUGGUUUAAUUCGAUGCAACGCGAAGAACCUUACCUACUCUUGACAUCCAGAGAACUUUCCAGAGAUGGAUUGGUGCCUUCGGGAACUCUGAGACAGGUGCUGCAUGGCUGUCGUCAGCUCGUGUUGUGAAAUGUUGGGUUAAGUCCCGCAACGAGCGCAACCCUUAUCCUUGUUUGCCAGCGAGUAAUGUCGGGAACUCCAGGGAGACUGCCGGUGAUAAACCGGAGGAAGGUGGGGACGACGUCAAGUCAUCAUGGCCCUUACGAGUAGGGCUACACACGUGCUACAAUGGCGCAUACAGAGGGCGGCCAACUUGCGAAAGUGAGCGAAUCCCAAAAAGUGCGUCGUAGUCCGGAUUGGAGUCUGCAACUCGACUCCAUGAAGUCGGAAUCGCUAGUAAUCGUGGAUCAGAAUGCCACGGUGAAUACGUUCCCGGGCCUU